rnacentral:tRNA from 1 species
GCGGAUGUAGUUCAGUGGUAGAAUAACGGCUUCCCAAGCCGCAGGUCGCGGGUUCGAAUCCCGUCAUCCGCU